UUCAAAUUAAAAACGGAUGUCAGUUAUCAAACAUAAUAUUUGCUUGAAAGUAAUUAUAUGAAUGGCCUUGUCAAUAUGUAUACAUGCUGAUUAUCAUGUCCAUCUGGGUCUCACAAUGGUAAAACAUUUAAUAUUGGAACUAAGGAAAGAUGUGUUAUUCGCACUUACCACUUCACUGUGACGUCAGUCGUACCGCUAUCUGCAGUUGACGAAUUCCACGAGCAGAAGAGGAAAUCUUCGUAAUUAUAGAUGACGGUUCCCGCCCGGAGGAAAACCAACAGAAGUUGUAAACAUUUCCAGGAUGUCAUUGCAGAUCGAAUGCUUUCAUAUCAGGAAUGAGGAUACAUCUUGAAUUCCUCACAGAGUAUCCGUUAAUAUCCAC